UUCCUUUCGUCUUUGGAUUCCACUGGCAACUUUAUUGAAAAAUCAGAUAACUACAACACAAAGAGAAGGCGGAAAUCUUCAAGUCAGAAAGAGAGCUCACUGAAACCGGACCAUGUUGGCAACCUGAUCUUAGACUUCCAGCCUCUGAAACUUACUUGUUGCAUGGUUUCCAUUCUGUGCUGCCUUCUCUUCUGGACGAUGGGGUUAGGAUAGUGAAUGAGAAG
rnacentral:lncRNA from 1 species